GAUGAAGAACGCAGCGAAAUGCGAUAAGUAAUGUGAAUUGCAGAAUUCAGUGAAUCAUCGAAUCUUUGAACGCACAUUGCGCCCGCUAGUAUUCUGGCGGGCAUGCCUGUCCGAGCGUCAUUUGUACCUUCAAGCUCUGCUUGGUGUUGGGUGUUUGUCUCGCCUCUGCGUGUAGACUCGCCUCAAAACAAUUGGCAGCCGGCGUAUUGAUUUCGGAGCGCAGUACAUCUCGCGCUUUGCACUCAUAACGACGACGUCCAAAAGUACAUUUUUACACUCUUGACCUCGGAUCAGGUAGGGAUACCCGCUGAACUUAAGCAUAUCAAUAAGCGGAGGA
rnacentral:misc_RNA from 1 species